AUACAUGAGCAAAAUCUCAACUUUAUUAGAAGAGACGCAUUUAUUAGAUAAAAAGCCAAUGCAUGCUUUUACAGUAUGAAAAUUGGUGAUUUAUAAUAACUUAGCAAAUCGCAUAGUGAAAACAGGCGAUAAAUCAUUCAAGUUUCUGACCUAUCAGCUUUCGACGGUAUGGUAUUGGCUUACCGUGGCAGUGACGGUUAACGGGGGAUUAGGGUUCGAUUCCGGAGAGGGAGCCUGAGAAACGGCUACCACAUCUAAGGAAGGCAGCAGGCGCGCAAAUUACCCAAUUCUAACAGUUUGAGAGAGGUAGUAACAAGAAAUAACAAUACAAGGCAGUUAAAAUGCUUUGUAAUUGGAAUGAUAGAAAUUUAAACCCUUUUUAAAGUAUCAAUUGGAGGGCAAGUCUGGUGCCAGCAGCCGCGGUAAUUCCAGCUCCAAUAGCGUAUAUUAAAAUUGUUGCAGUUAAAAAGCUCGUAGUUGAAGUUCUGCUAAAAGUAACCGGUCUGCUUUGAAUAAAAGUGGUAUCUUGGUAUGUAUUUAGCAAUGAUGUCCUUUGAAGUGUUUUUUACUUUAUUGUAAUAAAGCAUAUUCAGGACUUUUACUUUGAGAAAA
rnacentral:rRNA from 1 species